UACAGAGGUCUCAAGCGUUGUUCGGAUUCAUUGGGCGUAAAGGGUGUGUAGGUGGCGCCGUAAGUCGGGUGUGAAAUUUCGGAGCUUAACUCCGAAACUGCAUUCGAUACUGCGGUGCUUGAGGACUGGAGAGGAGACUGGAAUUCAUGGUGUAGCAGUGAAAUGCGUAGAGAUCAUGAGGAAGACCAGUGGCGAAGGCGGGUCUCUGGACAGUUCCUGACACUGGAGACACGAAGGCCAGGGGAGCAAAACGGG
rnacentral:rRNA from 1 species